UUCUGGCUCAGGAUGAACGCUGGCGGCGUGCCUAACACAUGCAAGUCGAGCGGAGAUAAGUUGAAGCCUAGCGAUUCUUAUCUUAGCGGCGGAUGGGUGAGUAACACGUGGGUAACCUGCCCUGUACUGGGGAAUAACAGCUGGAAACGGCUGUUAAUGCCGCAUAUGCGCACGGAGCCGCAUGACUCCGGGCGGAAAGAUUUAUCGGUACAGGAUGGGCCCGCGCCGGAUUAACUAGUUGGCGGGGUAACGGCCCACCAAGGUGAUGAUCCGUAGCCGACCUGAGAGGGUGACCGGCCACAUUGGGACUGAGACACGGCCCAAACUCCUACGGGAGGCAGGCAGUGGGGGAUAUUGCACAAUGGGGGAAACCCUGAUGCAGCGACGCCGCGUGAAGGAUGACGUAUUUCGGUAUGUAAACUUCUAUCAGCGGGGAAGAAGAUGACGGUACCCGACUAAGAAGCCCCGGCUAACUACGUGCCAGCCGCAGC
rnacentral:rRNA from 1 species